rnacentral:rRNA from 1 species
AACGAACGCUGGCGGCAUGCCUAACACAUGCAAGUCGAACGAGACCUUCGGGUCUAGUGGCGCACGGGUGCGUAACGCGUGGGAACCUGCCCUUAGGUUCGGAAUAACUCCCCGAAAGGGGUGCUAAUACCGGAUAAUGUCUUCGGACCAAAGAUUUAUCGCCUUUGGAUGGGCCCGCGUUGGAUUAGCUAGUUGGUAGGGUAAAAGCCUACCAAGGCGACGAUCCAUAGCUGGUCUGAGAGGAUGAUCAGCCACACUGGGACUGAGACACGGCCCAGACUCCUCCGGGAGGCAGCAGUGGGAAUAUUGGACAAUGGGCGAAAGCCUGAUCCAGCAAUGCCGCGUGAGUGAUGAAGGCCUUAGGGUUGUAAAGCUCUUUUACCCGGGAUGAUAAUGACAGUACCGGGAGAAUAAGCUCCGGCUAACUCCGUG